GUUUCUGUAGUGUAGUGGUUAUCACGUUUAUCUGACAUUCAAAGGGUCCCUGGUUUGAAACUAAGUGGAAACU
rfam:Cricetulus griseus cell line CHO-K1, whole genome shotgun sequence.